rnacentral:rRNA from 1 species
GUGCCAGCAGCCGCGGUAAUACCGGCAGCCCGAGUGAUGGCCGAUCUUAUUGGGCCUAAAGCGUCCGUAGCUGGCCGGACAAGUCCGUUGGGAAAUCCACCCGCUUAACGGGUGGGCGUCCAGCGGAAACUGUCCGGCUUGGAGCCGGAAGACCUGAGGGGUACGUCCGGGGUAGGAGUGAAAUCCCGUAAUCCUGGACGGACCGCCGGUGGCGAAAGCACUUCGAGAAAACGGAUCCGACAGAGAGGGACGAAAGCCAGGGUCUCCAACCGGAUUAGAUACCCGUGUAGUCC